AGGGAUGACGGCCUUCGGGUUGUAAAACCUCUUUCAGCAGGGAAGAAGCGAAAGUGACGGUACCUGCAGAAGAAGCGCCGGCUAACUACGUGCCAGCAGCCGCGGUAAUACGUAGGGCGCAAGCGUUGUCCGGAAUUAUUGGGCGUAAAGAGCUCGUAGGCGGCUUGUCACGUCGGUUGUGAAAGCCCGGGGCUUAACCCCGGGUCUGCAGUCGAUACGGGCAGGCUAGAGUUCGGUAGGGGAGAUCGGAAUUCCUGGUGUAGCGGUGAAAUGCGCAGAUAUCAGGAGGAACACCGGUGGCGAAGGCGGAUCUCUGGGCCGAUACUGACGCUGAGGAGCGAAAGCGUGGGGAGCGAACAGGAUUAGAUACCCUGGUAGUCCACGCCGUAAACGGUGGGCACUAGGUGUGGGCAACAUUCCACGUUGUCCGUGCCGCAGCUAACGCAUUAAGUGCCCCGCCUGGGGAGUA
rnacentral:rRNA from 1 species